CAGUAGCCGCGGUAAUACAGAGGGUGCGAGCGUUAAUCGGAUUUACUGGGCGUAAAGCGUGCGUAGGCGGCUUCUUAAGUCGGACGUGAAAUCCCUGAGCUUAACUUAGGAAUUGCAUUCGAUACUGGGAAGCUAGAGUAUGGGAGAGGAUGGUAGAAUUCCAGGUGUAGCGGUGAAAUGCGUAGAGAUCUGGAGGAAUACCGAUGGCGAAGGCAGCCAUCUGGCCUAAUACUGACGCUGAGGUACGAAAGCAUGGGGAGCAAACAGGAUUAGAUACCCCUGUAGUCCCUGUCUCUUAUAC
rnacentral:rRNA from 1 species